AACGAACGCUGGCGGCAUGCCUAACACAUGCAAGUCGAACGAGACCUUCGGGUCUAGUGGCGCACGGGUGCGUAACGCGUGGGAACCUGCCCUUAGGUUCGGAAUAACUCCCCGAAAGGGGUGCUAAUACCGGAUAAUGUCUUCGGACCAAAGAUUUAUCGCCUUUGGGUGGGCCCGCGUUGGAUUCGCUAGUUGGUAGGGUAAAAGCCUACCAAGGCGACGAUCCAUAGCUGGUCGGAGAGGAUGAUCAGCCACACUGGGACUGAGACACGGCCCAGACUCGUACGGGACGCAGCAGUGGGGAAUAUUGGAGAAUGGGCGAAAGUCUGAUACAGCAAUGCCGCGUGAGUGAUGAAGGCCUUAGGGUUGUAAAGCUCCUUUACCCGGGAUGAUAAUGACAGUACCGGGAGAAUAAGCUCCGGCUAACUCCGUG
rnacentral:rRNA from 1 species